GGGGAUUUAGCUCAGCGGCAUAAGCGCCUGCCUUGCAAGCAGGCGGUCUUAAGUUCGAUCCCCA
rnacentral:tRNA from 1 species